GCCACCUUAGCUCAGUUGGUAGAGCAACGGUUUCGUAAACCGUAGGUCACCAGUUCAAGUCUGGUAGGUGGCU
rnacentral:tRNA from 1 species